AAAGAUACGCGAUUCUGACAAUCUGUUGGAAACGUUUACGGCUAGAGCACGUUCGAUAUGGAAUGAAUCGUUUCUAGGUCGUAAAGGAUGAUCAACGACGUGAGAGUCAUCGCCACCGUCUUGCCACGAUGAUACGCGUAACUAACACUUGCUACUUGUAGGCCGCUGUCGUAACGUCGAACCGCGCACACGCCGCACGGGCAUUAUGCUACAAAGAUCACCAACUAUGGAAGUGGUGGGACACGAUUCCAUGGCACCGAAUGGUGCGACGGCGUGGCGCUAUCUGGAGUAACGUAUGAAUACUUGUUAAUCGAAUUGUUCAAUUGCUGAGUAGGUAAAAAGUGAGUAAGUUAUCGAUAGAUUGAAUUAAUAUACGAUUUCGCGUAGUGACGCACCUUUUCAAUUACUUUGAACAUUAUGCUCAAGAUUUUUUUCAACUCAUUCAAAAUGUAUUAAGACUCGAGGUUUACAAAUGGUCGAGACUUUCAAUAAUUUCAAGUCUCGAAUCAUGUUCGAAAUGAUUCAAAUUUUCAAAGAAUUUAACAAAUUUCGAGUCACUCCAAAAUGAAGAAUCAAAUCGUUAUCGGAUACGCGACUGUCAAACGAAACGGAGAAAGAAAAAUGAUACAGAGAUUGAAUAAUAUAAAAUAUCUUUGUUUUUGUGGCAUAUUACUAAAAGCUGGAAGUACUUCCUUGGAGUUGCAAUUUCUAUUUGAAUAUAUAACUUCGUAUUAAGUCUGAUUUGAAUGCGAACGAGAUCUUUGUGUAUACUGAAUAAAAUUGGAAAAUAAGGAAAUAUCGAAAGCUACAUAUUGACAAAAUUGAAACAUGGGGAGACCACAUAAAUAAAAUCCUAAUAUAAAAUACAAUAAGUGUAUCGAAAUCCACGUUUCCUUAGGUAAAAAUAUAACCCAGAAGUACAAUGCUUUUUUAUAAUAAUCUAAAGAACCGGUUUCAUCUUUGUAGUACUGAUCGUGUGAAUAAACCAGUUUCUGUUUCAUGUACAAGAAAGAACAUACUAUAAGAAUGUCAAGGUGCGUCUCAACUGGUAUUCGUAAACAAUUCGCAAAUAGUAUACGAAAUGUUCUGUUGUCUAGAAGUUGUCUAUCUCGUACUAUACUGCUCCUGAUCUAUUCGCAUAAGUACACAUUUCCCAUGAUUCAUAAUGUAUAAACAUAAGCUAAUAAUCUUCACAUAUUUACAAUUUUCUAUAAAUUUUAGUUAAUCUUAUUGUUUAAAAUUUUUUAUCUUUAAUGACUAGCGAUUGCACAACCUAAGAAUUGGUAUAAAUUAAUUGUAAUAAAGUAUUUAAAUAAUUGUUCGGGAA